rnacentral:lncRNA from 1 species
AAAAAACAAUUAUCAUUUUGUAGCAACUUAUAAUUUCGACUUGUAGCAACUUAUUAUUACAUCAUCCUAACUAGUACUAGUAACCGUCUGGUUUGCUUUCGCCUCUCAAUGAUUUUAUUUUCCACAUAUCGAUUUUUUUUAUAACAUUGAGCCAGUCCAUUCAUACCGAGCAAGAAGAGAAACCUUGCAACAAUUCAUGCCGAGUCCGUCAGAACCCCGCCAAAAAAAAGAAAGAAACCGAGUCAAUCGGCGAGUGAGACUGACUCGCGGGGCCCAAUUUGGACACGAGCUGAAAGAAGAUAACCCUAUCAGUGGCAGUGACAGACAAAGAACACUGACUAGACAACAGCAUUGAGCAUUCACAGGCCGAAGAAGUAUGCUGACGAGGUUCAGGUUCAGAGCACAAGGGCUCAGGGAUCUACAUCAGCUGACGCCCACGCGACAGGGUCGACGGCGAAAUGCAGCUCCAUGUCCGGAUCAAACUUCGAUGCCCGCAACUGCAUCUCACAGCGAAAACACAAAGAAAUUAAAUCGAGCAUCGACACAGUGGAGCAUAGCACUAGCUGUCAGCUAUAGCAAGGUGUAAAAAGUUUCGGUUUCAGAGUUUUUGAGCUCGGUGUCUCCUGAUUUUAGGUCACCAAUCGCCAGCGUUCUGCACGCCUAGCUUGAGCAUAUCUGGUUUCCAAUGCGAUAGGUAAGAUCAACUAAGAUAUCCCGGCUUUUUUCUCUCUCUCGAAAAAGAAAAAAGAAGAUAUCCAGGUUUUCUGAGCAAUUAUUUACUGAACUGAAGAUGGAACGGUCUAUUUUCAGAGCUCCAACAAAGUAACCACGACAGGUUCCGAACUGAAGGGAUAGACGGUCUUAUUUUGUUGGGUGUGGAUGAUCCAACUUUACUGAACUCAACUUACCCAAAAGUAAAUAAAGUUUUCCGAGCACUACUCUACUUCUGUUAAUACAUCUUAUUAUUGUCUUGCCCUUGAUGAAAAACAAAGUUCCCCUUUAUUCAAACCAGAACUUACCGGCUCCCUAAUUUCUAUGGAUGCAAGUGCAGAAAUCUUAC